GAAAAUAUUUUUUUUUUGGAUUUUUUGAAAAUUGGGGCGAAACCGAUGAGGUUUGCCUACGUAUCUCACAUCCGGUGAGAAUCAGGCCAGCGUAGUUCGAGAAAAUUAAACAACUAUGUUUAAAACAAAACUCUUUUUCAAGUUAUUUUCCCUUUUCUAUUUUUUAAAAGCAAAGAAAAAUAACAACCCCUUUUUAUUUUUUUUUCAAACAAUUUUUUCCAAAAUAAAAGACUCCUUUUUUUCUAUUUUUCUUUUGCUUUUAAUAAAACUACAUAAAAACAUUUUCUUUAUUUUUUCAUUUUUCAAAAUUUCGGCAACGUUUCGACAGUACUUGGGCAUUAGAUUUUAUCCAAAUAUUAGCUCCCUAACCGCUAUUUCUCUCUUUUUCUCUUUUUGACUUUUCUCAAAUUCCGACAUUCCAGGAUUCAAAACCAGUCAACAUGCAGGUUCGAACAAAUAAAUGCAUAGAACAAGUAGGAUGCACUAGGAUGGUCUUUUUAUUUCAGGUUGCUAGCCCUAGACGGACCCAACCCCUGUGUUGAUCCCCCUUAGUCAAUUGUGGCAUGAUGAAAAUAAGUGUUCCUACUAGGGAUCCGGCAUGAAGUCAAGUUAUUCUAUGUUCAAAACCUGGGUCGGUGUUCUAGACAGUGUACCUGAGCGGACAACUCGAAUC
rnacentral:lncRNA from 1 species